CCCAAUUCUUUUAGAGAGGUUACAAACAGUUUUGACAUAAAAUUUGAACCUUGAUCUGACUGAAGUACUUUCGGUAAGCCAAAUGUAGAGAAAAACUUGAUCAGGGCCUUAACUACAGUCUUGGCUGUGAUGGUACGGAGGGGAAUAGCCUCCGGAUACCGAGUAGCACUACACAUCACUGUUAAAAGGUAUUGGUUACCACUCCGCGUUCUUGGUAAAGGACCCACACAAUCCACGAUUACCCGUUCGAACGGUUCUCCCAGCACAGGAAUCGGAUGCAGUGGCGCCCGAGGGAUGACCUGGUUCGCUUUUCCUGUUAGUUGGCAUCCAUGACAGGUAUUACAAAAUUCCACAACAUCUGACUUUAGACCUGUCCAGAAAAAGUGGCGAAGGACUCUGUCAUAAGUCUUUGUUAUUCCUAGGUGCCCAGCCCAAGCAGGGUCAUGUGCUAGGGAUAACACUUGCUGUCUGAAUGGUUUAGGGACGACCACCUGCUUGACAACCCCUAAACCCCGAACGUUACCCUGCGCUGCCCACCUGCGCAUAAGAACGCCAGCCUCCAUGAAUUUUCAUUGAAGUGGAAAUACUGGACUGGGCUGGCUCCACGUUCACACGCUCAAGAAUCGAGUCUGACAGGUCCACCUCGUCUCCCAACCUACGGGACUGGGCCCGUGUAAGCACACAAGCUGGGAACACAUGAGGAGAGAGAGACGCCACAACCUCCUGGGCUUUGCCAGACAGUUUGCACUGCAGGAGGAUGGACCAAACCUCCCGUGGCCAGUGCAACGCCG
ensembl:lncRNA